AGCGCGGCACAAUGAACCCGCGCCCUGCCGCUUAACCCGCACAGCCGGCUUUCGGGCUGCAGAUUAUAAUAAUGUCUCGGUUUGCCUCUCAGCUCAGCUGAAAGCCCCGUGAAAGGCUUAGAAAUCUGGAGUAGCGUGCGGCUUCGUUUGUAUUCAUGGACCUGGGGCAGUGUCACGAGCAUCUCAAACUUACCUGUACAGAACAAAAAGCUUGUAAGGAGAAGUAACACAAGCAAAAAGUUCUCCAGGGCCCGUGCCCUUUGCAUGUGCUGGGGUGUUCGAAGGAUGCUGCUUGAGCCAUGACUGAAGGGCAGGCAGGUCGUGGUUUGUUUUCCCGGCAAGUGCAGCCAUGGAAGUUCUGUCCCAGUGAAGCCAUACCCUGUUCUGCAGAGGGGUUUAUGUUUUCAGACGUACAGUAUAUGUUGGGACAGAAGGUGCAGUCAGCUUUUGAAAUUUUACCUCAGAAGUCUGCACUGAUUUUUACCUGAUAAUUAAUGAUUGUAAAAGCAAAGGCAGAUAGAGUAGAGGGACAAUAGAUUUUUUUUUUCAUCCAUUUUUAGUAGUCAGGCUUAUAGGCAUGUAUAGGGAUGAACUUUGUUCAUGCUGGAUUUUGGAUGUCUUGGAUGGGGAAAGUUUAUGACCUAACAAAAAUUGGGCCAGAGUUAUCCUCAGUUACGUUUAUUUUUGAGAAUGCUGUACAGGGGGAACUGUUUCAAGAUUACCCAAUACUGUUUAAAAAGCUAUUAUGAUUUGUAGAUCUAAUGCUGUCUGAUGACAAGAAGCAUGUGAGGGAAGGCUUUCUAAGCAGUUAAAACUUUACAUCUGUAAGAUACCGAAGAAAAUCAUUAACAAGUGGCUCUCAAUUAUAGCUCCAAAGAUUUUUGAGAAUCUGACCACUGUUGUCUCCCAUGGCGAGCUGCUGGACGUCAGAUCUUUGUAAAUGCAGUCUUCAGUUGGCAUUACAACCAUGACUCUAUAAUCUUAUGUGAAAACUAUAAUCUCCUGUUAAGUGGUGGAAAAGUCAUCUCUCUCUUCAUAACCCAAAAUGUGGCUGACUAGGUUUUUUACUCAGCACUGCACAGAAGAUCAAAGGUUUUUGGAUAGAGCUGUAUAAAUUCUGUGACAAGGCUCAAGAGGCUCUUAAAUAUUUAAGCUAUGAGUAUGUCUGUGUUUAAAGGAGACGUCGUAAACUCUGAGUGCCUUGUAGUGAAAAUAUCCUCCCCUGUGCCACGAGCAUUUCGAGUUUCAGUCCAGUGUUACAUACCCGGAUAGUAUGAACUGGUAUGUGCAGGCUGAGCCCAGAUGAGAACAUAUCCUGCAGCAGCUGCCCUGAUGCCUUAUAGCCAGCCAUAGGAUUUAGGAAUUUCAGCAGAGCGAUGCUGAGUCUUGCUCUCAAACUUCCCUUCCAAGACUACCUGAUCCAUUGAGAAGACCCACAGAGGAAGCCUUUGCUGUACCACUAGGUACUGCUGAUGGCGGUAGAGGCUCUGAAAAUGGGCAGAACAUCCCAGUGCUUUUGUCUGAGGACAAGUUGCAGGAAAGCUUCUUCAGUGCAAUGCAAAAUUAUUGAGAAUAUUCUAACCAGCGAUGAAUCUUUUCGUAAUUUAUGUUUUGCAUAUAUGAUUAAGCAGCAUUGGCCAAAAGCCUGGUGACAGCACAGGGCUCUGGAAUGUUUUCCUGUUGCCUGGGCAGUUUAUUCAUGUUAGCUUACUUCCGUGAGCUUAAUCGCUCCUUUUAAAGUCCUCCUGAACUCAGGAGUGCCGCUGCUAUUGAGCAAGCUGAAAUUAUACACGCUGCAGGGAGAAAGGUGGGGAUGUUGAGACUUAACAUCUCUUUCGGAGGAAUUGAAAAGAUUUUGCCCCAGCCCUAAUUUCUGCAUUAAAGAAAUUGAAAAUUGUCAUUGCGUGCCUUCUUCAACAGGGAAGCAGUACAUAGUUAGAAAACGUGUCAUUAAAUCUGUGAUGUCUUUGGCCUGUUAUGCCUAAAGAGCAAGAGCAGUUGGAGGAGGCUUGCUGACAAAGUGAAGUCUUCAGUCAUGGUUGCUUAUGCUCCAGAUCAGAAGUAGUGAUCAAAAGGCGUUCCCUUUCACGUCCAAGCACUUAAACUGUGUUUUAGUCAUGGUAAGGAACCUGGGUGUUGUUUAUUAAUGUAGUCACUCAAACAAAAGGCAGCACUGGAUCUUGUCCUUGAGACAGAGCUGCUGCUGAAGAGCAGAAGGUUUCAGUGCCUCAGGCCCUCGAGAAUGGAGGUAAGAUCCUUCACUUUGCAGCCCUGCAUCUGUUGCGGCAUAAGAGUUAAGGGCUAUGAUCCAGUUUUUUUGUAGACUAACAAGCUCCACCAGAAAUUGGCAUUGCCUGGGUCGAGGGGACUCCCUGCUGGCUGAGGGAGAGAUACGGAGGAUGACCAGAGGUACUGACUGCUGGCAGGAGAGCCCCGAGCCAGCACAAAUGUCUCAUGAGAAAUCUGACAUCAGGGAGUGGAAAUCAGUGCUACUUUUUCUGUAACAGAAGGCAAGAAGAGAGGGGGGAAAAAAUACCACACGUACUGCUAGGAGCAAAAGGCUCAUGAUUUUUUUAGGCAGAAAAAUCCUGCCUUAAUUACAUUUCCCCCAAGUCUCUGAUGAAAAAUGGCUGAUAAAACUUUGGAGUGCUCAGAUGUCUCUGUGAAAUCUGUGUUUGCAUUGAAAAGACUAAGAACCUUUUUAAGAAUGAAGGUGCUUUGCCUUAUUUUUGCAAGGAAUGUCUAAGCUUUGGGUGUUACUUUAAUAAAAAUAAUUCCUGAUCUUUUUAUGGAAUAUCUAAACUCUGGGCGUUACUUUAAUAAAAAUAACUUCAAACUCCAAGAUUAACAGAAUUGCUAAAAGGAAUUAGUCCUCAAUAUGAAAAACAAUAAACUAACUUUGAAAUUUCUGAACCAAGCCCUCAAAGGCAAUCUAUGGCAAAACUCCAGGAAAAAAAAUUUAAUUUUUAUAAAAUAGCUGUAUAUCUUCUUUCUCGAUUAUAUCUAGGCACUGCUUUGGAAAGUGUUUCUCUCCUUGCAGAUGCCUAGGAAUGAGUAUUUUAAGAUAAUUUGGUUUAAUUUUAAUCUAGAAGUAAAAUCAAUCUUGCAAAGGGGCUGUUCAAAUUUGGGAUUUACUGAAACUGUAGUCCGAAAAAAUACUUUCUGUUUGCAUAUCUGAUGAAGAACAUAGAUCCUGAGUCUGUGAAGGAGUAGUCCCAUUCAGUUUCUUCCAGGCUGUCAGACUUGCUGGAACUGGUUUUGGACAUCCAUGAUGUAUAAAAUGCACAUGUGGAUCUACAGCUUGCUCCUGAGAAAGACCAUGGUUUUGUUAAGAUAAUAGCAACAUUUGUCAUUUUCAUAAUGGAGUAGAACAGGUAUUUUGAAAAGACUCAGCCAAAGGAGGGCUGUAUUACUUUCUAAAAUAUCCUGUGGAUCAUCUUGGAAACAUGGUUUGUAAUAUGCUCUUGACUGACAAGGUAGGGUGCGAGGCGUAAAUUCCUGAGCAGGAAAGAUGUAUGUGGGUUGUGCAAUGGGAGACUCCAUGUGAUGUCGUUAUUUAUGGCGCUUCUCUCAGAUGUCUUUCUGGGACUCGAACAGCUGCUGUGAACUUUACCCAGCACUGAGCACUAGAUAUGUUUGAAUGACUAUUUUGUUGUUGCUUGGAUCAUGGUGAUAAGCAGUAUAGAGCCAGGUUCUGUGACACUGGUUGAAAGAAGAGAGCAGAACUGUUGCUGGGUGGUGAAAAUCUUGCAGGGGGGAAAAAAGUAAGAUUAUCAUCUUCCAUAGCUUUGGUUGGUGGACAUCAGGGAGUGAUAGUUGAAGGCAACCCAUUUCUUUUUGCUGUAAUGUGGAAGGAAGGGUGGACUGACAGAAGAGGAAGAGUUGCUUUUUCUUUUCAGAGAAAGGUCGGAAGGAUAGAGGCGGAGGUGCAGGUUUUUCACUCUUGCCUCUUUUCUCCGUGACUGUAUUGUUAAAUGGCAGCAACCAUUGUUUGCAGGAACUUUUCCUUGCUUUCGUAAAGACCUGUGGGUUGUCAUGUGUUUUGUUAUGUGGCAGUGCUGUUGUUAAACAGAUCCAAAUCUACAGUCAGAUAAGGCUCGGAAUAAUUGAUGUUUUUAGCUCAGCUAAAUAACUGAGUUCACAUGAUCUGUAAGUGGCCAGCGGGUUUUUUUAGGCAAAGUAUGUACUGCUUGUAUUAUACUUUUAUUUAAAGCUAAUUUUGUCACAACAGAUCGAGCCUUCUAGCAACCAAAAAUACCUUAGUUGAGCCCGUUAAAAAAGUCUCCCUACCCAAAGUCUGUUUCUGUGUGUGACAAACAGAAAAUACCUCUUCUUUUCGACUUCAUCGUCAGUAAUGACUCUGAAGUGGUGAAAGCAUUGCACUCUGUGCCUCUGAGAUUACUCUUGCCACUGCUGAUGGGAGAGUUGUUCUGUAUCAUUAUUGUCUUCCCUUUCAACCUCAGCACAUUCUGGAAUGCCAAAGGCAAACCACUUGCUGGCUGAUCAGAGGUCCUGGUGGUGCUGGUGUGGCAGUGCUCUGAACCUUGUGGCUUGGACCACUCUUUGAGCAUUGCCUAAGAACAUUAUAGCCAGCUCUUUACACAUGUGAGGCGGAAGAACAGGAGAGUGUUUAUGGCCUUUUGGAAACAAAGUGUCAAGAUCCUUGGUCUGAAACAGUUUCUAAGGCCACUGUAACUAUUAAACAGCAUGGAGAGGUCCUUGAGAAAUACAAGAAAGGACAAUUUUACUGCCAGUAGGAGACCUGCCACUUUAUUGACCAAUCAGUCUCUGAUACUCAAAUAGAGAAAAAUGUUGCAUGUGUUUGGAUUAUGUAAUGAGGUAACUGUUGACAAAGUGAUGCCUGUUACUAGUUCUGUUAGUGCUAUUUUGAUCAUUAAAGAACUCCAUUUGUUUCUGGACCAUAAGCUGGAACAAGCUUUUUCGCUCACCCUCUUGCUUGUCUGAAGAUUGUUCCAAAGAGAGAUGAAAUGGUGUAAUUUUCAUUUUGGUUGAGGCAAAGAAGUAUUCUCUUACCAUAACUCUCCAGUUCCAAGCCCGUAAUCACAGCAUUUGUGGUGAAACAGUGAUGACUAUGUGGUAUUUCUCACAGAUGCUGUAAAAACUCUGUCAUCUCCUUGGGAGGCCAUCUUCCCAUGAGAUACCAGCCUUUGUCUCUUUAUUUCCUGAAGAUUUUCGGACUGAGAACCUGUGGUGUGGAGUCCAAAGUUUCAGCUUCAAAGGCUUGGAGAAGAAAAUGCAGCCCACGUAAUGAUUGAAAGCAGGACUGUGUUUUGGGGAGACAAGAGGAUCCAGAAUGUCAAGUGUGUUUUAGGAGUCUCCCUUCUUGUCUGCUCCUAGCAUAGAUAUACUUUUUUUCCCACCAAACUUUUGUUGAAUGAAGGUGUGGCUUUAUACCUUGAUGCAUGUUGCACACAUUGUAUGAGCAGAAACAGCAGAGAGCACUGGAGCUUUAAUAAGUACUUGGCAUAAUAAUCAUGAUGAAUGUGCUAUGAGCUCAUCCAUAAGGAACAAAAAUAGCAACAUAGGCUAAAGUUAUUGCACAGGUGAACCUGCAGCCCACAAGAACAUCAGCCUAGAGCAAGAUGGGAUUGGUGUUGCAUGGUUGGGCCCUGUUUUUCUUCAUUCAAGCAUGGAGAUGAGAGGGCAGUUCUUCAUUCACAGAGGUUCCUGUACAACACUUAAAAAGCUGAGCAUAGUAUGCUCAUAGUCUGUUCUAAGUAAAUUUAUCAGAAUCUUGAAGGUGGGGGUUCAAAGUGCACAACAUAGAGUAAAACAUCUUGCUUUAUAAGGGUGCCAGCCCUGGAGUGGAAAACAUCAUAAAAGUGAGCUUGCAAGAUCUAGAAGAGGGUAGGGCCUGCUGAAAUCUUGGUGGAAGUGACAAAUUUCCUGCAGAUCCCAGAAAUGUAGCUUAAAGAAAUGUUGCUAGGUAUCCGAUAGAAGUUGCUCGGUUGUUGCCUUAAAGAUCCUCAGAUUGUGCUCCUGUCCUGUCGCAGGGCAUAGUGUGGUGUGGAAGUUCGUGGUGAAGCUCUUGGAAGGGGAACAGAGGUGGUUAAUGGCUAUGAUAGUUCCCAUAAUGCAGGAACAAAGGGAUAUUUAAAUGACAUAAGGCAUAAAUACACCACACAAUAUUAGCAAGGGCAAAAGUUUAGUCAGAUUCCAAGCAGACUUGGGCAUUUAAAUAUAUAAUGACAAUGUCCAGAGUUGCUGUAAAUAGGAUUAAAAAUAAAUUAAGCACAUAAACCUUCAUGCUAAUUGAUGAGGUCAGGAAGGAAUUUCCCUUUUGGGGGAAUUACCUCAUUGUUCACUACCUGAGCUGUUCCACCUUCUGAAGGCGUCUGGUCCUGAUCACAGGAGGCAGGAUUCUCAAACAAAUGCACCAGCAGUCUGACCUGUCGUGCCAGUGCUUAGCUUACUCUGCCUGGGUAGGAUCUUGUUGAAAGGGUUUGAGAAGCAUAUUGUUUCUUUCUUUUAGGUUUUUCUGGGGCAACCUGUGCUGCAGUGUAUGUCUGCUUUUCCAGAUUCCCAUUGGUGAAAAAGGACAGCUGUUGUCCAAGUGCCUUUAAUGAAUCCUGAGGAUUGCCUGCUGACAUGUCAGUAUCAGCCCACAUAGAGAUGGAAGAUGUGAUGGGCUCAUAAGGCAUUGCUGUGUUGCUCCACAGAUUCAAAGGUAGCUUUGUGAGCAGCUGAACUAGUGAAGAUAAGACUUUCCUGCAGCUUUCUUGAUUUUGGUGGCACUGCAAUUCCUUACACAUCUUUCCUUCUUUCUCUCUUUCCAUUACACAGCAGUGCUGUUAGCUUCCCUGAUUUUCCCAACAGCACAGUGCCUGAGCAGCUUCUCACUGCCUUGUAGUUAGUUCUUGGGUAUAUUUAAUCAAAACAUGCUGUCUCCCUUCUGUUUGAGAACCAGAAGUGUUGCUCAGGGGGCUGCCUUGGUUGCUUACUUUGCAAGUCUGCUGUAGGAAUUGAGCACCUCUGUAAUCUCUGUGCUUUUGCAUGAGAUUUGGUUGAAACUGACCUUGCAGUUUACAUUUCUGUGCAUGGGAUGAUCAGUGUGGUUGCCUAACCAUUGUUUCCUUGGGAAACAAGGAACACUUUCAGUCUUGCAAGCAAAUUACUGUAGAAUAUUUUUUCUCUCAAAGCAAUUAGGUGCAUGAAGAGUUACACCAAAAAUUGAGGCGUGUGUACUUUUAAAACAUGCACUGUUUAAUCUUUUAAGAUUUUCCCCAAGGUAUAAGGGGAAGGCUUCCUUGCCAAAAUACUGUAAUUGAGUUAACAUUCUGGGAGGUUUCUGUGUUUUGUUACUGAGCUACAAAGCUUCAGAACUUCUGUUACUGAGCUUCUGCUGGUGUUGGAAGGAAGAAAGAUCAAAGUUAGAAGUACCAGCCUGCCAGUAAAUUGUCUCUUCAAAAGAAAACUGAAAAUUCCUUGGUUGUUUCAGGUGGCAGCCAGCAUCAGAUCUUUUUGACAAUUAUUAGCCUUUUCCUGCAGUUCUCUUUCUGCAUGAGCAGUGAGAGCAGCCUGGAUGUUUUGUAGUCUGUAUGGUGUGUAUGCUGACUGUAGACAUCUGAUUAACAAGUGAUGCUGUCAAUAAUAGAUUGAAUUUGUCCUCAGUUACUUUCUGCUGCUCAGGGAAAAUGUGGAGUUAUAAUGCCUAUGGAACAGUAAAGUUAUGGUUUCUGUCUCUUGUAUAUAGUGAUCAUCACGAUAAAAGAUUAAUAAUCACUGUGGUCUAAAAUAAUUGGAUAGUAUAUAUAUUAUAAAAUAAUUCUGAAUGUCCUGACAGCUGGAUGUUUGUGGCUUCCUCAGCUUUAGUGCUUUUGAAAACUUUUAAGCGCUUGAAAUCUGUGAUAGUUACCUUUCCUGAGUAGGCAGUAGCACGUCGCAGUAGCAGGCAUGAUCACUCAGGGCAUGAGCUCUCAGGAUGGUUUGCCUUCUAAGCACUUUUGAGGGUAAGAACUUCAUCAAGAGUUCAGAAAUGGGGGAAUGUAGUCAUUGACAUGUAGUCCCAGCACAGCAAAUACAUUUCUGUCCAGUUACUUAAAAGCUGUUUUUUUUGCAAUGCCCAGAGCACUCUCAGAGGGCUUCUUGCUUUGACUAAGGCUCAGUUAUCUUCUCAAUUGUGAUGUGCAAGAAGCAAAGCCAAAACUUUGUGCUCUGGUGGGACUCUGUCCCUACAGCUGUCCCUCACAUCUGCUGUAAAAAAGCAAAAAUGAGCCUGGAUUCACUGGGGGGAGUUAGGGAAAGGACUAAGCUGUCUUUCUGAUUUAUGCAUAUGGAGCAUGCUGCUGUCAAGUGUUUUUUUAGAAUAAAGAAGGAUUUUAGAUGGGAUGUGGAAUUCUGAGAAGUUUAGGUGGUAGCUGAUAAGAUGUAGGGUCUGCUCUGCUUCUGGUACAAAGAUUCUUUGACACUAAUGUUUAUUUAAGGGUGGCCUUAACCCUAAAAGGGAGAGAUAAAAUUGCUAUCAUGCUUCUGUUUCACUGAGAGCUGGCUUGCAGAAUGGUUUUGGUGUCUGCUUAUCUGCCCUGAAGGCUUCGUGGCUGGGGAGGCUGCAGAAAUAAUUCUCCUGUACCCCCUCAUUCAGAAUUCAGGCAAAACUGUAAGGCAGGCAGAUGGUUUAAGCUGCAUCUUUGGACACAAGACGGCUGUGUCUCCAUUUUGCAGAUGAGUCAUCCCUUUGCUGUUUUGUUGUUAGACUCUAAACAGUGCUGCUCUUGGCUUUGGGCCUGCCUCAUCCCAAGUUUUGGAUGGCAGAAACAGAUAGGUGUCAUGAUGAGGAGCUUCUCAGAAACAGAAGUGGAUGAUGAGUGGAGAUGAAGAAAUCAUACAUUUAAGAAGUUGGCUCAAGUUUCCGUUACAGGCAUGGAAAGUUUCUGAGACCAAGCCAUGCGAGAAGAACAUGAGUAAAGAAGAGGGAGAUGUAGACCCAGACUUUCUAGAAGGGAUUGCAGGAUUUGAGAGGACGCUGCACAGACGUCACGUAGUUUUCUUGCUUAUUCAUUUACCUGCACCCCUGAACUGUAAUACUUUGUUUGCAUGUCUGUUUGGAAGUUGAAAAAUCCCCUCACAUCUGUGUCUUUAAUAUAAUCAUGGCUUCAAGCUUGUUUUAGGAAGAGCAGAACUUCUCUGUAGUUUUUAUUUGUGGAUGAGAUAGCUGCUGCUUUGUACUUGCAAUCAAUUCGGGUGUUUUUUUGUUGAAACAUACAUUGAAUAUGGAAAAGCUCAGGCCAUUACAGAAUAGGUAGUUAGGGGUUUUGCUUACAUUUAAUAAACAGCCUUUGCAUAGAAAGUAUGACGACAGGUGCAUAGGUAAAAGAAAAAAAAAGUAGUGCUAGCCCUCUAAUUUGAGUAACCUUAUAAUGUAUUGUUCUUACGGUGUCCUUAGACAGACGUCAGAAUCAAAUAUUAAUCAAUUUUAUCUUUUCUAUCUGACUGUUGGUCAGAAAAAUGUUCUAGAUAAGAUUCCUUGCCAGGGUUGUGGGGUUAUAAGUGCAGGUUACUUAGUCUUGAGUUAGGAGAGAGCUUUUUGGAGAGAUAGUUUUUUGAACAUCUUGGCUGUUCUGUGAAGUUAUCUCGGAGGAAAUACUAGCCAUGCAGUCCAACAACUUAAUGAUGCUGUGAGCAGACUUGAUUGUAGUAAGUCUCUGAUACAAAAUUAUUAAGACUUUGACGUAUAUGUAUUUAAAAUUUUAAAAGUAAAUGUAUUUUCCUGUAUUGAAAAGUAUUUCUGGUAGAGGCAGGCUAAGAACAUCUUUAUUUUUCUUAUGAACUCCUAUCUGGUGUCUUAUCCUUAAUAAAAGGCUAUGGUUAUUUUUGUAUACUGCCUGAAUAUUUGGCCUUUAAGAGUAUAUAAUUAGAUGGAAGAGUAAAAGCAGUUGUUAAAGGACUGUUUUUUUAAUGAAAAUAGUUUGAAAUCAUAUAAUUUUAGUUUAUUCCAAAUAGAUGUGAUUAGUGUGUUGGAAAUAGUUUUACAGUGGAUAUAAGGGGAACAGUUGAGAGACAGUGGCUAAGAAUGUGUCCAGCUAUUUUUGUAGCUAACCGUUAUAUUUUUUCAGUCUCUUUACUUAGAUAUUUCCAUAUAAUCGAACUGCUACAUCACAAUGGGAUACAAAAACUAUUUGCACUUUAUAAUAUUUGCAUUUUAAAAUAGGUUUUAUUGUACUAAUUGAUAAGUAAAUUGCAAUGACUGUGAGAAAAUCCUAGCCUAUUUUAUUACUUUGAUAGAAAUUUGAAUAUGGGAUAGUAUUGUCUGUAUCUAUAAGAAUGUUUUCAUGGAUUAUUAGCUGCUGAAACUGAAAUCAAUAAACUUUAGCUACUGUUGUUGACUGGAACAAGUAAAUCUGCACAUUUGUUUUCUUCAUGUUACCUGUACCUCUGUGUUCACCUAGUAUUUCUCCCAGCAUUACUCCUUUCAUGGUGUUUGCCCAUGAGACACACUCAGUGUGGGUUCCUGCAUGUUCUUGUGGAAGACUUUAUCGAUGGAGAACUGUGCAUUUGAGUUUGUGCAAUUACUCUGUUAUCUGAAUAAACCUCAGAUAAUUUCAGUCAAAA